rnacentral:tRNA from 5 species
GCUCCCGUAGUUCAACAGGAUAGAACUGUCCUCUCCUAAGGGACUAAUGGCUGUUCGAGUCAGCCCGGGGGCACCA